rnacentral:lncRNA from 10 species
AUCACUUGAAUCCGGGAAGCAGAGGUUGCAGUGAGCCAAAAUCACGCCACUGCAUUCCAGCCUGGGCAACAGAGCAAGACUCCAUCUCAAAAAUAAAUAAAUAAAUACAUUAAAAAUAUAUAAAAAAUACCAGAUCUCCUCCAACAUAAGAACAUACCCUGUCUCCCUUCCUGCCUUAUUUUCCUCCUUAGCACCUCUCACCAUCUGAUGUACCAUCUACUUUGUGUGUUGCUUACUGUCUCCUGCCACAAGAAUUUCUAUGCCAUGAGAGUGCAGAAGUUUUGGUUUUAUUCACUGAUGAAUUCUCAGAGCCUGGAAGAGGGCCUGGCACAUAAUAGGCUCCUGAUAAGUACAUAGAGACUGAAUGAGUGAUGCUCCUGGAGAUGCUGCAGCUGCAAGCCAGGACUCUGGCUAG